GACGAACGCUGGCGGCGUGCCUAAUACAUGCAAGUUGAGCGCUGAAGGUUGGUACUUGUACCAACUGGAUGAGCAGCGAACGGGUGAGUAACGCGUGGGGAAUCUGCCUUUGAGCGGGGGACAACAUUUGGAAACGAAUGCUAAUACCGCAUAAAAACUUUAAACACAAGUUUUAAGUUUGAAAGAUGCAAUUGCAUCACUCAAAGAUGGUCUCGCGUUGUAUUAGCUAGUUGGUGAGGUAAAGGCUCACCAAGGCGAUGAUACAUAGCCGACCUGAGAGGGUGAUCGGCCACAUUGGGACUGAGACACGGCCCAAACUCCUACGGGAGGCAGCAGUAGGGAAUCUUCGGCGAUGGACGAAAGUCUGACCGAGCAACGCCGCGUGAGUGAAGAAGGUUUUCGGAUCGUAAAACUCUGUUGGUAGAGAAGAACGUUGGUGAGAGUGGAAAGCUCAUCAAGUGACGGUAACUACCCAGAAAGGGACGGCUAACUACGUG
rnacentral:rRNA from 1 species